ensembl:lncRNA
GCCAUGUGUAGUUUGUCAGACCUGGUACCCUCCUGCAGCCAGGGGAUAGGCCUGCACCAGAUCAGAGUUGCUGCCCUCCAGGCCUCAACACUGACUCAGCGUUAAUAAGAGAGGAGUUCCAGACUCAUUGACUUCUGCAGGACAGCAUAAAGGACUCAGCCCUAGUGAAACUGUUGUCUCCAGUCUCAGCCUUUGGUUUGAGGUAAACACACAUAACAUACUUCCUUUCCCAGAUGACAUUUUGCUCUUGUGAAGGCUGUUGUACUGACAACCAGCUUUGAUCAGGAAUAAACUCUUUGUGAAGAGUGCCAAAUAUGCUGUCCUGGCAGUCUGCCCAAAGCCAGCUUUGCUGAAAUUUGCCUUAAAGAGAAGAUAUGGAAGUCUCCACACACUUAUGGCAAGUCUGUGAUGGAAACGUUCCAGACAAAGAGAUCAAGGCCUGUGCAGCAGUAGGGCGGAUGCAUGGGGAGGGAGCCCCAUGCCUGGAUGCAGGUGGCAGACUCUGGGACCAGACUUAUAGGAGCAGCUGGAGGCUGAAAAAAGUACGGCAUCUGGCACCCUGUGGCAGACCCCAAACAGAUGAGGAGAGAUCACCUUAAACCAACUGCCUACUCACCUGGGUUGCAGCCACCCUAAGCCCUGUACCCCUGGCACCAGCACAAGUUUAGGGGAGAGACCUUCACUUCUUGCUCUGCCUCUGUGGGAAAGAAUCACUCUGGGUUUCAGAGGUGUUUCUUGUGACCACGAGGACAAGCAUCAGCCAAGGACUUUGAUCAUUUUGGUGCCUGGAGAUCUUGCUUUACACAUCACCAGGUUGAAGCUCUGACCUUGGGGGGGGGUCAGGGGAUCCACCAAGCUGUGAGCUCUACAGACCACUACCAGACCUGAGGAAGAAGAGGAGGCACUUACUCUACCAGCUCCUGGUGAGGGGCAGAACCUCCUGUUCCUGCAAAAUGCAUGGUGUCAGGGGCAUCCUGAAUUUUGAAGUUGAAUUAUGUGAGACAUGUUGCAAACAUACCUGACAGGAACUGAUCUUCUCCAUGUGAAACCCCUGGUCUUCAAACUCACCUUAUAUGUUUGUUAAACCUCUAGGAUGAGAAGCCUGAAGAAACUCUCAUUUGGAUACAGUUUCGUGCAGGCAGUUUGCCUUUCAGGACAGGCUCAUGAUGACUGCUUAACUUUGGACUUGCCAAGAGUUUGAAACGAGAUGCCGAAAUACCACAGUCACAUGAUGGCUGUUCUUGCCACACAGUACAGGACCACAAAUGAAAAGCAGCAAAUCACCAAAAUACCAGAUGGGUGCUUGACCCAUCAUAUCCAAGCCUUUGUGCAACCCAUGGGAAUUUGUGAACGUUCUUCAAAUAAGGAAAGAUCCCAUACGUAUCUCAGGCAUUAGUGAAAUUACAUUCCAUAGGUCACAUAAAAAUAACAUGGCCCUGCAUGUCUUAAACCAAAGUGAGAAGCGCUUUUCUUCUAUAAUUAAUACUUCUGUGUUUGCCAGCAAGACUCCAGCAGCAUUGGUUCCCAGUGGAAAACUCUGUAUAAAAUCCGAACAAACAGACCAGUUAAAUUGUUGUGUUUGCUGUUUUCCAUCUCCAGCUUGGAUACACCAGAGGUUGUAUCAGGCUGCACUCAGGCAGCAUGCUGUUACAACACGAGAAGAAUAAAAACAGCACCAAAUGUUUUACUCAAAGACAGCCAUUUGUACUAUUCUCCUGGAGACAGACAGCUAUUUUCUCAUUAUUUAAAUAGGACCUAAACCCUAUAAGAGAAGCUGCAAGUAACAGUCUCCUUAUAUCUACAAAAGAAGGCUUCCCUAACUGCUGGCUCUAAACCAGCUUUUAUUUGACAGCCAUGCCAUAAUUACGUCUGGGUCAGGAGACAUCAACUGACAAAUUUUAUUUGGAAACAAUAAUUGGGGAAAGAAGCAAUAACCGGGCAGAGCUAAUUAUUUGGGAUCCAUUUUACACUCCCUCAAAAGCCUUCCACUGGUUAACAAAGGAAUUAACAUAAAAAGCACACCCUAAACAGUAUGGGAGAGAAAUAGUGCUAAAAGAUUAAGCAAAACCAGAAAAAUAUGCAAUGAGCUCUGAAAUCUCAGCUGAACGCUUUGGAGUAGGGAAGUGAAGCAGUAGCUCGAAAGUUGUUGUAACAGAUGGGGGAUUUGGCCAAUGUGCCAGGAAGGAAAGUUCCCUUUUCCGCAUCUCUGGGAGACGGGGCACCAAACUGGCCAUCCAUUCAUCUUCAUCUUGGUGUUUUCUGAAGUACUGAUCAACAAAAAGAUUAUUCUUUUAAAGUAGCUGAUCACAAACUGCACCAAGUUUUCCAACCAAUGGUUGCCGUGCCCUGAAGCCACAAGAUAUUCAAGAUAUUUGCUGAAGACAAUUUUUUGGAGCUUCUGAUAGUUCAAGCAGAUUCCUCAGUGAAUGAGGUCAUCGAUGACUGGGCUGCAGCCAUGACAUAAGUUUAUGAAAGCAGGGCCAAGAAGCCAGCAGGAAUCAGAAGAGAGGGUUAUAAUGGUAUUACCACCUGUUUGGCUCACCUUGCUUUAUGAGACAUGUUAGGCAGUCAUUUCAGUGCCCAGGCUAUUUUGGUGACUUGUAUGACAAGAUGUAAAUUUAUGUACGUUCAGACAUGGAAACAAGGACUUUCAGGGAAGAGUUUCAGACUGCCAAGCUCCUCACUCAGCACCUAUGCUCCUCACCUCAUCUCUGCACAUACCUGCUGUGGAAUGAGUGCUUUUUCAGGGCCCCCAGCUCCUAUAUCUCUCCUUUGGCUUCAGAGACAAUCAAGGGGGAGCAGGUGCUCAAAUCAGAUAUGUAGUGCUGAGCAGGAUGAUGCCUCCUGUGUGACCUGUGGAAGAAACACACUUCCCAGAAAAGCAGCUCUUACUGUUGUGGCUCCAUGACCGUACCACAGAAGACAAGUGCUUCAGUAGGCCAUAUCAAGGACAAGCCAUCUGCCAUCUGAUACACUGCUAAAAUGCUAUGGCCAGCACACUCCUGGCCCCAUCCCAAGAGCAAAGCCCUUCAAAUCCCUGGGUAGGAAGAGAACAUAUACAACAGAAACACGAGAGCUCUACCAUUUCUGAGGCAGGUUAUCGUCAGAUGUGUUUGGAAAAAAUUUUGUUUCACUGGAGGAGGCUUGUAAUACCAGAGCUGAGGUGCUUUCCCACUUUGUCAGGGAGAUAGACAAG